GUUAAGCAAAUGCACCCAGAAUUCUGCAUCAUUCACUAUGUUUUCAAUUUGGAUUCUCUGUUUAUCCUCAGCAAUCUUCGAAUGCAGAAUCUAUCAACUUCAACAAAAUAUUCUGCAGGACGAAAGUACCGGUGGAAAUGCUGGAUAGAAGUGGGAUUUUUGAAUUUCUUGCCUCUUGCUGGAUUGGUUGGAAGCUCACAGCAGAAGCAGCAAAGAUGAAAUGAAAGAGAAGAUCCCAAAUAGCAAGAAUUCUGAGCUUAAUCUUGAGAAGCAAAGAAUACCAAAAGAUGGUGAAGCUAGUUUGCAACUACGAGAGCUUCCUGGCGCCGGAAAAUCUUUUUGAGGGAGAACAAAGUAAUGGUGAAGGUAGUGAUUUGAAGAUGGACUAUAAGAAGGCAUUGGAGGCUUUAGUACCUUGAAAUGAUUGAGUUGUGGGAAGAGAAGAUAAAGAUGGCAGAGAAACUUGAAUUCAAUGUGAAGUGUCUUCGUGUACGAGAGUGUGAAAAAUGGGCUUGGUGGGGUGCAGAAAUUUAUGGCUGAACUGCAGGAGCAAGGUCAGAUAUUUCAAGCAGCAAAACCAAAAAUUAGGGCAAUUGAGGGUGUGUUAAGGAUAUAGCAGAAAUGCAGCUGAGUGCAGCAAAGGAUGAACUGCGAGGCAAUGUUUCUGGCUUACUCAUGGAGCUAGAUACCGAAAUGUACUUACAAGUGGGUGAAAACUUACUUUUUGAUGGAAUGUUUCGCAUUAUGCCAUUAUGUAGUAGUCGAAAAGAAAAUGUUCAAGAAAAAUUAGAGAAGUCACCUUUUUGUGCGCAAAAGAACAUUCUGUAAAUUUUAACGAGUGUAGAAGUAUGUCUGUUGUUGCAA